GCCAGAAACAGCAACCCUUCUGGGUCCCCUUCCACCACGCAGAAGCUUUACUUUCGCUUUCACUUUACUUUUGCUUUCACUUUAACAAAUCUUGCAGCCGCACACUCUUUGGGUCCGCCCGUUUCUCUAAUCAAGUUGUAACACUCGCUGCUGUGGUCCACAGCUUCAUUCCUUGAAGCCCGUGAGACACGAACGCUUCCAUUGAGAAAAACCUUCCAUCAGAAGAAGACUUCUCGUCUCAGUGGGACUGCUGAGUUGAAUGGACGAGGUUUCACCAUGUUACCCAAGCUGAUCUCGAACUCCUGGGUUCAUGCGAUCCACCUGACUCAGCCUCACAAAGUGGUAGGACUACAGAAAAUGAACAGGACUAUUCUUCCUCAAACAAAGAGAUCGUGUGAUGAAGACUCACCAGAGCUGUUCUCUAUAAGCUUGAAGAGCAAUGGUAUCAGGUGCUUUUUUUUCUGAAGCUUUGGUAGUGUAACUGUAAGAGUCCUGGAAUUGGAAAAGCAAAUCCAGAAGUUGAGUUCCAUGACUUUUUUGCUGUUUGCCUUUGGACUUGCAUCAUUUAUAUUUUUAAUUCAUCGAGGAUGAGAAAAUUGAUUAACACAAAAUCUUUUCAUGUCUUUUCUGAUGAGAGACUAGCUGAAUCCAAGAAGAGAAGCCCUUGAAGAGUGUAUUCUAUUCUAGACAAGCAUUCACACAUUGGCUUCUUUGGUGCCAGCAUGUUUCUGAUCAGCAUGAAAACUGCGCAGGAGCUUUUCUGUCUUGCAGAGCUAGUUAAUGAGAUUGUUGCUGCCUUCAGAUUCUAUAAAGGACUUCUCCAAUAUUGGAUUAAAGAAUGAAGAAAGGAUCAAAUUGAGACAUCCAGGGGGGAAGAGUUCCCUGGCAAAACUCCAAUCUGCCUGAGCACUGAGGUGGAGCCACAGAAGUCCGGGUCAUUUGCACCUGGGAGGAGCCUGGCCCCUCCUCUUCCUGUGUGGAAUCUGGGAUUUAAUCUGUGAGGAGGGAAGGCCAAGGGCAGGAAGCACAGGCUCUCACUUCACUAAGAGUCUCUGUUUCCCCUUUUUUUCCUUUAUGCCUAAUUAAUAAAUCCCAUUUUUCUCACUCUUCAAAUAGUCUUCAAGCCUAAAUUUUCAUGACCAUGGAACAAGGACCCCAUCUUUAGCUGAACUAAGGAAAAGUCCUGCAACAAAAUUCUUUGCUAAAAAUACAUGAGGUUGCCUUUUCCUUCUUAAUCUUAAAAGAAAUAUAUUUCAAUGGUUAACGUUUUAGUAAUUCAAAAAUUAUCAAGCAUUUGUUCACAACCAUAAGAUGUGCAUUGUUUUAUAUUCCUACUUAAUAAUAGACUAUAAUUGUCUAAUUAGACUGCCGAUGUUGAUCUUUGUGGCUCAUUGCAUUGAUUAUAAGCAGUGUUUUGGGUUUGUGUGUGUGUGUCAAAUUUAGGGUUUUUUUGGUAUGGCUGCUGGUUGGUGUAGCCUGUAUCCAGUAUCCUGUAUUAAUUCUAAUAUUUGCAUUUUGAACAUAUUUACAAGUUGCUAAAAUAGCAAAGCUUCGAGAUGAGCCUGGCUGAUAUGGCAAAACCCCGUCUCUACUAAAAAUACAAAAAUUAGCCUGGUGUGGUGGUGCAUGCCUGUAAUCCCAGCUACUUGGAAGUCUGAGGCAGGAGAAUCUCUUGAACCCAGAAGGUGGAGGUUGCAGUGGGCCAAGAUCGCACCACUGCACUCCAGCCUCGGUGAUAGAGCGAGACUACGUCUCAAAAAUAAAAUAAAAUAAAAUAAAAUAAAAAUAGCAAAGCUAUGUAUGGUUUCUCUGAGUUUUGUAAUUUAUCAUUGUUAACUGCAGAAAUUUAUUAUAUGAGACAUAUUAUAUGAGACAUAUAAGUGAAUUUGGAUUGGGUUUAAUUUUAUAUUUUUGAAUAUAGUUCUUCAAGAUAAAUUUUAUCUUAGACCUCAAGAAAUAAAAAUAAAAUAAAUUAGAUAUACAAACGA
rnacentral:lncRNA from 10 species